rnacentral:tRNA from 1 species
UCCCAGGUGGUCUAGUGGUUAGGAUUCGGCACUUUCACUGCCGUGGCCCAGGUUCAAUCCCUGGUCAGGGAA